UAGGCUCAAGGGAUCCUGCUACUUCAGCCUUUCAAAGUGCUGAGAUUACAGUGUGAGCCACCAGGCUCGGCCUGCAGAAUCAUUUUAAAAAGCUCUCUGAGGAUAAGGAUGAAGGCCCUGAUUUGUUUUCAUUGUAAGCAUAAUGUUCAUUUGCUCAUUGAUUUGACAUUCACUGUGCACCCACGACAUGUGUGCACUGUUCAAGGCAGGGUUUAAGCAACGCUCAAGAAGCACAUGUGGUCUCUCAAGGGGACGGUGUAGUGGACAGAGAUAAUGAAGAAAAACACAGGGAAGAAAGAAUGACAGAGAGUGAGAAGUGCUGUAAGUGCAGUGACAGAGACCACCCCGGGGCCUCCUGGAUAGGCUGCAUGUUUGUAGGAUGAUGGAGAGUGGUCCUGGAGAAGACUGAGGAGGAGCCCUAGGGGGUCCAGGCAGAGAGAGGAGGGGCACAGAGCUGGAGGAGGGAAGGGCGUUUGUACAGUGUGUGUGUGCGUGUGUGUGUGUGUGUGUGUGUGUGUGUGUGUAUGCUGGGGGACAUGCAGGGAGAUGGCAGGCCUCAGCACUGGGGAGAGCUAGGGUGCAUUCUAGAUGCAGCGGGGAGCUAGAGCAGGGACCCUCUUCUCCCUGCUCGGCCUGGCAGCAGGGAAGGAGGCCCUGGGCUGUGGCUGAUUGCAGUCAACACUGAGGAACAAGUGCCAAUGCUUCGUGCAGGGCACAACCUCUGCCACACUUUUACCUAUGUGACCUUCUGGGCCAGGUGCUGUGUGAGGUGCUCCAUUUCUCAGAUAGGAAGGCUGAGGUUCAGAUCAAUGCUGCCUUGCACACAGCUGGAAAUGGCCAAAUCAGCCCCAAAGCCCCACUUUGUUCUGCGUCUUUGUGAAGGUCCGGGUGGCUGUGUGUGCAGUGUCUGUUGUGCUGGACAUACAACACGAAAGCAAUUGUUACCUCUAAUUUUUAGGAGGCCAAAGGACAAGAAGCCACGUGCUAUAGGCCAAAGAGCAACUAAGGGAUUGAAGAGUAAAUCUGUGAUUGAAUGAGCAGAUGAAAAGAGGAAAAGCCUCCCCUAGCACAAACCCGCAACCCAUUCCCUUCCCAGCGUCCUGGCAGGAGGGGGUUUCAUCACCGUCCUGGGUCAGGGAAGAGAGAGGGAGGCCUUGUGGUGGAGGGGAGGGGAGGAGAGCUCACCAUCAAAGGUGUAAAGAAGGUUCUAGUCCCUCCAGAGCACACUCAGGGAUGCUUUCUUGUGCUUCUGUCGCAAGGCCUGGUCUCAAUCUUGCUUACUAUAAAUGCAGUGCUACGUCCUGCUUUUCCUUUACUUCAUUGCAUAAACCUUCCCUGAAUCACUUACAGAAUCUUUAGAACCACCAUUUUUAAGGUUUGAAUAGUUGCGUACCAAGUAAAUGACCACAGCUUAUUGAAACUCUUCUUUGUAGUCAACCACUUAGAUUGUUCUGUUGUUAUUUCUAGAACACAUAACUAAUGCUAAUAAAUAAUGAAGAUAACACAGAUUAGUAUUUCCUGAGGAUGGAUCUCUUGCGUGGGUUCCAAAGCUCUAAGCAAUUUCUAUGGGCCCUGGAGUUUCCUCCACAGCUCCUAAGGCGGCUCUGGCACAUGAGGAAGCUGGGAAAAGAACAGGGGUGAUGGACACAUCUGCCUUGCAGGGGUGAUGGGCGCAUCUGCCUUGGUAAGUGAACUUGUUGGUUCCGUCCCACGCAGCUUGGGUGUCUGCACGGCGGUGUGCUGCUGGGGUUGGAGAGGGGCCGCCCUACAUAACGUCCCCACAUAAAAGGGGCAGGUGUGCAGGUGGUCCCAGGGAUGGUGGCAGCUUUGUCUGACUCCCCUCUACUGGGGGACUGUGGGGGAUGUGGGAGUGGAGGGUGCGGAUCACCCUCCUCCUCCGGGGUCCUCCAACCUCUCCUUGGCCAUUCUCUUUGACUUCCUUGGGAAAGAGUCCAGGCUUCAGAGGAUUCUUCGCCCAUUUCAAUCUGACCCCAUUUGAAUCCCCAACGGUCGCAGUAAACCCCAGGCACACGAAGACAGAGACUUGUGGCUGGCUUGCGGUUGCUGUGAUCACGUUGGAAUCAGACAACCGCUGCCCUGGCAGGCAGCACCCAGGCACCUCUCAGGUGGGAAAAGACUGAGCCAGGUGAAUGUCCCGGAGCUCCAGCCAGCUCAGACUCCUAUGGGUGAUAACUGCACCUCUCGGAGGAAGCCAACAGAAAGUGCAUGCAGCGGCAACAUGAGCAAAGAGAAGUGCUGGGACCCGUUCUUUGCUGCCACCUCCAAGUCUGAACAGCAGGCUCUAAGGGGGGCCUGGGAGCCCCUCAGGAAGGGCCACUGCCCGUGCCUCACCUCCUGCCCGCCACUCCACUGUUUAUUGCCCUACCUGACUGUAACAGGCUGCGUCUUCAACGUGGUGUCAGCUGCCCCAGAGACACACCUGAAGAACACCAGGAGACAGGGGUGCCAUUCGGACAUGAACAGGAGCUCCUACCUGAAUGUGCAGACCUCCACCACUGGAGCUCUCGGGGGAAAACAUCCACGACAGCCUCGCUGAGCCUUGAAACAUUUGCAGACCAAGCAGGCUCAGGUGCCCGUGUUUGCAGGCGGUUUUGUAGAACGUGUCAUUUAUCUUAUAUUGAUGUACCCUUGACAGCCCGAGAGGAAGUGUGGUCUUGUGGGGAGCUCUGUGCAGGCAACAUGAGCGUCUGUAUUGUCUUCCUAGCUCUGCCCCGGUUGUCAGAGGAGUCCAUCUGGGCCACAGGGGUGAGGGGCCGUCACCCCUGCCUUUUGGUUAGCCAGUGACACCUCCCCAGUUGUGUGGCAGGUGAUGCAGCAAAAAUGCCCAUGAGCUCCUCUCAACAUUCAAAACAAAACAGAGAGCCACUCUAAAACAGUGGAUUUCUUGCAAAUGGAAUAUGCUGAGAAUCUGUGACAUGUGCAGGUCGAGGAGGUUUUCCAACUCUGGGAGAUGCUGUUGACAAUCUCACUUCUGAAGUUAAGAGGCCUUUUGAAUGGCUCUGGCCACUGAGAAGUGAAACCCUGGGAGCAGCUAGAGACCGCCAGCCUGUGAUAUUCAGAGUCAAUGUGACCCACAGAUGGGGAAAAUGAGACAUCUGAUGAGGCAGCAGGAAUCCAGAAACCAGAACACGGCUAACCAGUAACGAAGUUGUGGGAUCACUGACGCUCCCCUACCCCAGACACGGGUGGUCAAAGUAGAAACUGAAGAUCAGCCUCAGAGACUCCCAGACUGAGGAGUCAGCCUAAUUUUCUGAUAAGAAAUUAAAGACUCGGGGCUGGGGGAAGUGAGAGAAGUAUUAUUCUCAAACUUUUAGGGGGGAAAAAAAAACACACACAAAAUGAAACAAAACAGUGAAAAGAAUGAUCAGGAAGUCAGUAACUUCAUUGUGCCUGUGCUUGCAAUGCCAUGUUUUUAACUGUAGGAAUCAGCCAUUGUAAUAACAAAUCCCACUGCUGUAAAGAAGGUAUAAGUGAGUGGGAAAGGGUCUUAAUUGUGAUCUCUCAUCUCACCAGCUUGAGUGUCCGCACCAUGCAGCCACAGCCAGAGCAGCACACUCUAUCUGGGGUGGUGAAUUGUAAUUUUAGGCAAAUAUCAGAGGAGAAAAUAAAUUACCUUGAGUGCUUAUAAAACUAAAAAUAGUAAGAGAAGGCCAGGUGCG